GAUGAACGCUGGCGGCGUGCCUAAUACAUGCAAGUCGAGCGAACAGAUGAGGAGCUUGCUCCUCUGACGUUAGCGGCGGACGGGUGAGUAACACGUGGAUAACCUACCUAUAAGACUGGGAUAACUUCGGGAAACCGGAGCUAAUACCGGAUAAUAUAUUGAACCGCAUGGUUCAAUAGUGAAAGACGGUUUUGCUGUCACUUAUAGAUGGAUCCGCGCCGCAUUAGCUAGUUGGUAAGGUAACGGCUUACCAAGGCAACGAUGCGUAGCCGACCGGAGAGGGUGGUAGCCGACACUGGAACGGAGACGGGGACAAGACUCCUACGGGAGGCAGCAGUAGGGAAUCUGCCGCAAUGGGCGAAAGCCUGACGGAGCAACGCCGCGUGAGUGAUGAAGGUCUUCGGAGCGUAAAACUCUGUUAUGAGGGAAGAACAAAUGUGUAAGUAACUAUGCACGUCGUGACGGUACCUAAUCAGAAAGCCACGGCUAACUACGUG
rnacentral:rRNA from 1 species